CAGUAGCCGCGGGAAUACGUAGGUGGCAAGCGUUGUCCGGAAUUAUUGGGCGUAAAGGGCUCGCAGGCGGUUUCUUAAGUCUGAUGUGAAAGCCCCCGGCUCAACCGGGGAGGGUCAUUGGAAACUGGGAAACUUGAGUGCAGGAGAGGAGAGUGGAAUUCCACGUGUAGCGGUGAAAUGCGUAGAGAUGUGGAGGAACACCAGUGGCGAAGGCGACUCUCUGGUCUGUAACUGACGCUGAGGAGCGAAAGCGUGGGGAGCGAACAGGAUUAGAUACCCCUGUAGUCCCUGUCUCUUAUAA
rnacentral:rRNA from 1 species